rnacentral:rRNA from 1 species
UACGUAGGGUGCGAGCGUUAAUCGGAAUUACUGGGCGUAAAGCGUGCGCAGGCGGUUCGACAAGUCCGAUGUGAAAGCCCCGGGCUCAACCUGGGAAUGGCAUUGGAAACUGGCGAGCUUGAGUGUGGCAGAGGGGGGUGGAAUUCCGCGUGUAGCAGUGAAAUGCGUAGAGAUGCGGAGGAACACCGAUGGUGAAGGCAGCCCCCUGGGCUGACACUGACGCUCAGGCACGAAAGCGUGGGGAGCAAACAGG